CAGUAGCCGCGGGAAUACGUAGGUGGCAAGCGUUGUCCGGAAUUAUUGGGCGUAAAGGGCUCGCAGGCGGUUUCUUAAGUCUGAUGUGAAAGCCCCCGGCUCAACCGGGGAGGGUCAUUGGAAACUGGGAAACCUGAGUGCAGAAGAGGAGAGAGGAAUUCCACGUGUAGCGGUGAAAUGCGUAGAGAUGUGGAGGAACACCAGUGGCGAAGGCGACUCUCUGGUCUGUAACUGACGCUGAGGAGCGAAAGCGUGGGGAGCGAACAGGAUUAGAUACCCGGGUAGUCCCUGUCUCUUAUAC
rnacentral:rRNA from 1 species